rnacentral:rRNA from 1 species
UACGGAGGGUGCGAGCGUUGUUCGGAAUCACUGGGCGUAAAGCGCGUGUAGGCGGCUUCUUAAGUCCGAUGUGAAAGCCCGGGGCUCACCCCCGGAAGUGCAUUGGAUACUGGGAAGCUGGAGUACCGGAGAGGAGGGUGGAAUUCCUGGUGUAGCGGUGAAAUGCGUAGAUAUCAGGAGGAACACCGAUGGCGAAGGCAGGUCUCUGGGCCACUACUGACGCUGAGAAGCGAAAGCAUGGGGAGCGAACAGG